UACGUAGGGGGCAAGCGUUGUCCGGAAUUAUUGGGCGUAAAGAGCGCGUAGGCGGUCCGAUAAGUCGGCUGUGAAAGUCAGGGGCUCAACCCUUGAAAGCCGGCCGAUACUGUCGGACUAGAGUCCGGAAGAGGCGAGUGGAAUUCCCGGUGUAGCGGUGAAAUGCGCAGAUAUCGGGAGGAACACCAAUGGCGAAGGCGGCUCUCUGGGACGGUACUGACGCUGAGACGCGAAAGCGUGGGGAGCGAACAGG
rnacentral:rRNA from 1 species